CAACACUCUUUUACACAAUCGCACAGAAAGCGGAGAUAAGGACACCCGGAGUGCUAAAAGAAACACUUUUAGCUGUUAUAGGAGAAAAAUAACCCUAAGAGAAAGGGGAGGGCAAGGCUGGCGCCCGCCGCCGCGCUAAAACCAGCUCUUCAAGGGGUCGUUACUUUUAUUGGGCUUAAAGUGUCCGUAGCCGGUUUGGUAAGUUCCUGUUUAAAUCUGGAACCUUAACUGUCAGCCGGGAGAAACUUCCUUUCCCCCGGGGGGGGAAAGGACAGGAGAUAGCCGGGGGGAGGGAUAAAACCCAAAACCCUGAGGGCCCCCCCGGGGGGAGGGCCCCGGAAUGAAACACACCGAAGGGAGGGAAAAAUUCCAGGAAACCGAACGGGAUUCCCGCCCCCGCAAGUCCGGGUUGUAAACGAUCCAUGCUAGUUGUUGCAGGGAUAUAACCCGUUUCGGGGCCGAGGCAAAAUGUUAGCCGCGCCGCUUGGAAAGUACCAUCCCAAAAUUAAACUAAAAGGAUUUGGGGGGGGAAAGGCAAUUUUUUUUAACCCUUCCGGGCUGUUCCCUUAUGGUGAGGUUUAAUUCUUGACCUGGGGGUACCCUGGCCAUACCGGUUCCCGGA
rnacentral:rRNA from 1 species